rnacentral:rRNA from 1 species
UCUUCUUCUUCUCCGCCAAGCCAGCCGGCCAUAACCCUCCUCCUCCGGUAAGGGUCAGUAGCGCGCCAGAUCUUUAAAUUUCCGCGGGAGGGCUGCUGAGCUUCACGCUCCAGUCCACGCCGGAUCCGACACUGGAUUUGAAUUUGAAUUGAAUUUCAGUGUCUGUCCGUCCGUCCGCCUUGCUCUGGCGCCACAUCUUCCUUGUUCUUCUUCAUUCAUUCAUGGGAGUACUGCUGUUUAUCAAUCUAUUUAUAUGACUGGAUCAAUAGCAGCAGCACUCGGAUUGCACCUCCAGGGUACGGAUAACUUUCCAAUUCGUCGGAAUAAUAAUAAGAGUAAUAAUCGGCGAGCUUGUGUAGCUGCAGUCCGACUGGGAGGGGGCUUUGCUGCCCCGGCGCAGCGCUGAGUUAUUAUAAAUAGUGGCAGAAUAAGGACGAGGAUUGGCCUGCAAUAGUCGAGAGCCUCCACGGUUGCCUUAAACAUUCAUUCCAAGCCUUCGCCGGAGCUGCGAUAUACCACUUCGACCGAACCACCGAAAUACAGCUUCCCACAUCGCCAAUGGAGGGGAAUAAUAGCGAUCACAACGACAGUUCCCACAGCCAAAUAAGUCCCCUCUCGUCUUGAUCGCCAUGCCUCUCUGUUCAUAUUUUUGUUCUUAUAUUAAUGUAACACUAUAAGCUCUUGAGGGUUAUUGUAGCAUGCAAUGUAAAUGUUGAAUGUUUUGUUUUUUAAGUUGUUUUUCUUGCGUGUUAUGAGCUAAAUUACCUAUAAUUUAGGUGGUUUUGACAGAGUGAAGAAGUAGUCAAAAAUUAUAGCCAGGUUUGGGUUCAAAGUUUCGCUGUGCCGCCAUGACUUUGUUUUGUUUUUGCCCACUUCAACAUGUAGAACUAUGAACCUGGCCAUAAUUUUUCUAUUGGAACAUUUAAUUGAUCAUGUAGGAAGGAGAACAGAAAGCAAUGACGACAAAAAAAAACAUGCCGAUGUAAAGAGAUGUCUCUCUUUGUUCUGACGAUAUAAAGCUCCAGUUUACAUCUCCUGUAUGGCAGUGAUGGGAAUGAUUUUUAUUUUCUUCUUUUGCACAACUCCUGCAUCCAUUCUCUCGAAAGCUUUUCGACGAUUACGUGGAUUGAUGCAUACUUUUCAUAAUAAAGUUUGCAAGUAUCGGAGGGCGACAAUUAGCAGGAUUUCUUUAUAUGGCCACUGAGGUUUUACCUAGAACCAUACACAGCAGACUGCAUGGUACUGUAGCGGCAAAUUUAGCGGUCAGAUCGUUACUAAUCAACACACUGUAGUUGUGUUUCCAUCAUCUUGGAAUUCAAAGUUUCAGAGUUGGUAUGCUGUAGUACUAGAGAUAAUCAAGCAAUUUUCACGCUAGAGAGAUUUUAGUUCCUGUCACCAUGUGUAACUAUUCUCUGUUUGGUAUUUCUGAAUAAAGUUAUGGCAGCUAAAUAAUGGAUGCUUGAUUUAUGUUGCAGCAACUGGACGACGAAGAUAGACUCAGCGCUCUAACUGAUGAUAUUUUACUGUCCAUCUUGGGGAGAGUCAGUUCACUUGUGGCUACAAGGACAAGUGUGCUCUCUACACGGUGGAGGCAUCUGCCUUGGUUGCUGCCUGAACUCAGCAUCGAUGUCCAGGAUUUCCUAUCCACUCCGUACGCUGACCUUGUUGAGGCAAAUGAUAUGGAACAAGCCAUGGCGUCUUUGACCAAAGCAACCAGGAGUUUGUUAGAUAAACAACAGAGAGGAUCCACUAUCUCAAGUUUGCGCCUUAACCUCUAUUUGAUCAACACUUUCCUUUGCGAAGUUGGCCCACUGUUAGGUGAUGCGAUCGACAGUGGUUUGUUGAAAGAUUUAAAUCUCGGCAUUCUUGAUGAGACAAAGACUCUGGACCGUAGCGACGAAGAGAUGCAACAGCGAGCUCAAGACAUAGAUGAUUUUUUCACUGCCUACCCUAGUGUGCUCCACUGCCUCACAAAGCUCUUUCUAAAAAUUGUAGGCUUUGACAAAUUGGACAUGCACCAUGUCCUGUUUGACUGCUGCAAGCAACUUAAGCAUCUAACCCUUUAUCAUUGUGAUACUGGUUCCUACUCUGUCUUUAAGAUUGAUGCGCCAGACUCAAAACUCUGUGUUCUUGAAAUUGAGAAGUGUCGCUUUCUGAGAAUCGACCUUGUCUGCCUCCCUAAAUUGGAGAAGUUCUUUUGUGAGUCUUGGAUAUCUCAGUGUGCCCCGUUGACCUUUGGUUUUGUCCCAUCACUUGGGCAAUUAGAACUCUCAUGUGGUUCAGUUUGUGAGGAAGACAUAUUUAAAUUAAGUGAGCUUCUACAUGGAGUAACAAGCAUACAUACUCUCUCAUUGGAUUUCCAAGGUGAAGCCCUUUGGUUGCAACCUGAAAUGGAGGAACUCCGCACCGCAUUCAGCAAGCUAAGGAAGCUGUACGUACGUAGGUGGUAUAUUUGUUGAAUUUGACAUUUUAUGGACAAUGGCCUUUCUUGUAGCAGCACCAUCUGUCGAAAUGUUACAUAUUGAGGUAUGGGAACAUACAUGCGAUUUGGGCGAGGCCAGACCCGCUUCCUACCUUGACAGGAGUCCAAAGUGGGAAAUGCACUUGGAUAGCAGCUCCGAGAACAAGCUUCUGAAAGAGCUAGAAUUCGCUGGAUUUAAAUCGCUAGAACAACAGUUUACAUUUAUAAGGUCCAUGUUGGAGCGAUCUCCCAACUUGCAAAAGAUAGUACUGAGAGAUGAUGAGCAGUGUGCUGAUUGUGACGCCCUUGAGGCACCUCGUCCUUCGAGAUUUCCACGCAAGGAGGAGGAGCAAGAAGUGGUUGUUAAGCGGAUUAGAGAUGGCAUGUUCUCGCCGGAGAUAAUUUUUCAUGGAUAAGGAAAGAUGACUUGUCUCAGGUCAAAUAAUUUUUGAGGUCAUCUUCAUCACCCUGGCGGUUUCCAUGACGAUGAGGGAGUAAUUCAUCCUCGGGGUUGAGGGUAUGUACCAGUAGCUAUGUGUUUGAUUCAGGGUUUAUAAGUCGACGAGUCGAAGACUUAACUAAUCUAGACUAGUCUAGAUUAGUGCUAACUAGUUAACAUGGUACUGUAGUACUCAGCUACUAAUACCUAGUGGUAGUAUGUAGUAUAUACUAACAGUACAUUAUGCAAUAAAAC